GUUCUAGUAGCUUAAUCAUAAAGCACCGGUCUUGUAACCCGGAGAUUGAGGGCUGAAUCCCCUCCUAGUGCC
rnacentral:tRNA from 1 species